GUCCACGCCCUAACGAUGUCAACUGGUUGUUGGGUCUUCACUGACUCAGUAACGAAGCUAACGCGUGAAGUUGACCGCCUGGGGAGUACGGCCGCAAGGUUGAAACUCAAAGGAAUUGACGGGACCCGCACAAGCGGUGGAUGAUGUGGUUUAAUUCGAUGCAACGCGAAACCUUACCCACCUUUGACAUGUACGGAAUUCGCCAGAGAUGGCUUAGUGCUCGAAAGAGAACCGUAACACAGGUGCUGCAUGGCUGUCGU
rnacentral:rRNA from 1 species